GGACUAUCAUGUACUUUACUCUAGCCUUUUUAAUGCACACAACCUCCUAAACCGUUUAAUCUAAAAAAACUUCUUAUUACUAUUAUUAUUGCAGGCAGAUAUUGUUGAUCAUAGAAAACGUGCAACUGUUUUUAGUUGGAUAAAAGGCCUAGUUUCUGCAUCACAUGUCGUCGGAAAUCUCCUAGCACGUUUUCUUCCAGAAGAGUACAUUUUCGAAGUUUCAAUAGCUUUGUUAAUCUUCUGUCCAGUUUAUAUGGCGUUCUUUCUCAUUGAAACGGUUAAAUCAACUCCAAAGCUGGAUCAACAUUCAUCUUAUUUGAAUAAAGCACUCACGGUUGUACAAGAACGUUAUA